GACGAACGCUGGCGGCGUGCUUAACACAUGCAAGUCGAACGGAAAGGCCCUGCUUGCAGGGUACUCGAGUGGCCAACGGGUGAGUAACACGUGGGUGAUCUGCCCUGCUCUUCGGGAUAAGCCUGGUAAACUGGGUCUAAUACCGGCUAGGAGCCAUUUUGAGUGUGAUGGUUGGAAAGUUUUUUCGGUGUAGGAUGAGCUCGCGGCCUAUCAGCUUGUUGGUGGGGUAAUGGCCUACCAAGGCGGCGGCGGGUAGCCGGCCUGAGGGGGUGGACGGCCACAAUGGGACUUAGAUACGGCCCAAGCACCGACGGGAGGCAGCAGGGGGGAAUAUUGCACGAUGGGCGCAAGGCUGGUGCUGCGAGGCCGCGGGGGGGAUGACGGCCUUCGGGGUGUAAACUCCUUGCGCUAGGGACGAAGCUUUUUGUGACGGUACCUAGAUAAGAAGCACCGGCUAACUACGUG
rnacentral:rRNA from 1 species